rnacentral:rRNA from 1 species
AUGCCUCUACCAAUUCCUCGCGAGUCUUGGGAUCUCAUUACCAUGGAUUUCGUGGACCGGCUGCCGCAAUCGGGGCAGUUCAACUGCCUGCUGGUGGUUGUGGAUAAGCGCACGCGAUUUGCCCAUUUUCUUCCUCUGGCGCACCCUUAUACUGCUGCCAAGGUGUCUGUUCUGUAUAUGCAGCAGUUAUACAAGCUGCAUGGAUUCCCUGGAGCCAUUGUGUCUGACCGAGACCCAUUGUUUACCAGCCACUUUUGGCAAGAGUUGUUCAAGUAUGCCGGAACGGAGCUGUGCAUGAGCACGGCAAAUCACCCACAAACGGAUGGCCAGACGGAGAGAGUCAACCAGUGCAUCGAGACCUACCCGAGGUGUUUCGUUCAAGCAUGUCCCCAAAAUGGAGCUUUUGGAUUCCGUUGGCACAGUUCUGGUAUAAUUCCUCGUACCACUCCGCAAUAG